UGGUGUGGUAGUUGAUGUUAAGCAGUUGUACUAAUAGUUGGGAAUUUCGAGGAUAAAAUUUCUUUUAGGGGGUAGAGUUGUAUCGCCUCAAAAAUCCCGAACUUUCUUUUUUUCAGUUUUGAUAAAAGGUGUGCUUAAUAUUCCUAGUCAAGUGUUAUUUAUGUGAUAAUAGGCCUUGGGUAAGUUUUCAGUUCAAACAUUGGGGUGAAGGAAAUUAUAGUAAUAAUUAAAAUAACCUUGAUGGCAAGUAGUUUGGGUUUUAAAUAAAUGAAGGAGGAAUUGGACACAAGGAGCCUUUUGUUGGAAUAACAAGUAGUGUCACAUG
rnacentral:lncRNA from 1 species